AGGACGAACGCUGGCGGCGUGCUUAACACAUGCAAGUCGAGCGCCCGUAGCAAUACGGGAGCGGCAGACGGGAUAGUAACACGUGGGAACGCGCCCUUCGGUUCGGAAUAACUCAGGGAAACUUGAGCUAAUACCGGAUACGCCCUUACGGGGAAAGAUUUAUUGCCGAAGGAACGGCCCGCGUCCGAUUAGCUAGUUGGUGAGGUAAUGGCUCACCAAGGCGACGAUCGGUAGCUGGUCUGAGAGGAUGACCAGCAUCACUGGGACUGAGACACGGCCCAGACUCCUACGGGAGGCAGCAGUGGGGAAUAUUGGACAAUGGGCGCAAGCCUGAUCCAGCCAUGCCGCGUGGAUGAUGAAGGCCUUAGGGUUGUAAAGUCCUUUUAACGGGGAAGAUAAUGACGGUACCCGUAGAAUAAGCCCCGGCUAACUUCGCGCCAGCAGCCGC
rnacentral:rRNA from 1 species